CACGUAGGGGGCAAGCGUUGUCCGGAAUUAUUGGGCGUAAAGGGUGCGUAGGCGGUUUGGUAAGUCUUAUGUGAAAUCUACAGGCUCAACUUGUAGUCUGCAUGAGAAACUGCCGGGCUUGAGUAUGGGAGAGGUGAGUGGAAUUCCUGGUGUAGCGGUGAAAUGCGUAGAUAUCAGGAGGAACACCUGUGGCGAAAGCGGCUCACUGGACCAUAACUGACGCUGAUGCACGAAAGCUAGGGGAGCAAACAGG
rnacentral:rRNA from 1 species